rnacentral:tRNA from 1 species
AAUAAAAUGGCUGAAUUGAGGCAUUAAACUGUAAAUUUAAUUAUAGGGUCUACCUUUUUGUUA